UUGCAGCUCGUACCGUGGUAAGGAGUAAGCUUGCUGCUUCGCUGACGAGUGGCGGACGGGUGAGUAAUGUCUGGGAAACUGCCUGAUGGAGGGGGAUAACUACUGGAAACGGUGGCUAAUACCGCAUAACGUCGCAAGACCAAAGAGGGGGACCUUCGGGCCUCUUGCCAUCAGAUGUGCCCAGAUGGGAUUAGCUUGUUGGUGAGGUAACGGCUCACCAAGGCGACGAUCCCUAGCUGGUCUGAGAGGAUGACCAGCCACACUGGAACUGAGACACGGUCCAGACUCCUACGGGAGGCAGCAGUGGGGAAUAUUGCACAAUGGGCGCAAGCCUGAUGCAGCCAUGCCGCGUGUAUGAAGAAGGCCUUCGGGUUGUAAAGUACUUUCAGCGGGGGAGGAAGGUGUUGUGGUUAAUAAACCGCAGCAAUUGACGUUACCCGCAGAAGAAAGCACCGGUCUAACUCCGUGCCAGCAGCCGCGGAUAAUACGGAGGGGGCCAAGCGUGAUCAGAAAUAAUGGGCGUAAAGCGCAACCAUGGGGGUCUGG
rnacentral:rRNA from 1 species